rnacentral:rRNA from 1 species
UACGUAGGGUGCAAGCGUUGUCCGGAAUUAUUGGGCGUAAAGAGCUCGUAGGCGGUCUGUCGCGUCGGCUGUGAAAUCCCGAGGCUCAACCUCGGUCUGCAGUCGAUACGGGCAAACUUGAGUGUUGCAGGGGAGACUGGAAUUCCUGGUGUAGCGGUGAAAUGCGCAGAUAUCAGGAGGAACACCGGUGGCGAAGGCGGGUCUCUGGGCAACAACUGACGCUGAGGAGCGAAAGCGUGGGGAGCGAUCCGG